ensembl:lncRNA
CAGCCUUUAGCCGUGGUACAUAGGCCAUAUACCACUAACCCCCAAAGUGCCUUAUUGCUUUUACAAACCGGUUGCCAACACAGUAAGGCAAGAAACUACACAUCUUUAUUGAAAAUGUUGCUUUAAUAAAUACAUUCACAAUAAAUACAUACUGCCAGAAAAAGUAGUCCGGACGAAAGUCUCAACGCUAAACGGGUUGCUAUGCAACAUAACCACAGGCUAGAUGGCAAGCUUACAUUAAAUGUAUGCAAAAACCGAGCAUUAGCGCCCCUUUAUAGAAUGACUAACACAUGACAAUUAAUUAUUAACGUUGAUCUGAAUGUUGUCAUUUAUUGUGCACAAAUGAAAAAAAUGGUUCCAUGUUUGUUGGCUCCACGCUACUUAUAAAUGGAUGACGUGGUAGUUGUUUGUGUACAUCUAUGACGAGCCAGCUAUUUUUCAUGGUUUUGGCAGCAUUGUUACGAGGGUGUUCACUCCUAUCGGUUCUUGACAUGUGUACCUUGAAACACAGGGGAAAACAACGUUAGCUAAUAGUUAGGACUACAAAACGACCGGUUAUAUUGUCAGGGUACAUUUAGAAUGAUGUAACUAGCUAACUAACAGUUACAUAUCAUACGUAUCCAUUCACUGCUUUGUCGCACCCCUCUUCCUCAACUUUUUAAUUACGCUGAGAGACGACACAUUGUUGCGCGUUGUGAUUUCGGUGUCCUGUAUAUUCCAUGCCAGACUGAGAGGGGUCAUUGAUAUGUCGGUUCAAAUCCAGCGGCAGUUUAGCUGCUAAUCCCAUUUUUUUCGCCAUUCAUGUUUCUCAUUUAACCAUAAAAGUCCCAUAAAAUGACUUUCAGCUCCAUUUUGGUUGUAUUCACAAACUCAAUGUAUCCCUUGUUCGGCGCACCAGUCAGUGAAGCGGUUCAGAUGAGGACAAGGAGUCAUCCUCCAGUGAAGAUGAGAGGACGAUCGGGACAGACCUGACAUCCUGGUACCUGGUCACAUCCAGCUGUGACCUGUCAAUCAAGGCAGGUGGGGCGGAGCUCCACCUGUUUUGAGGGAGGCCCAACAUGUUUUGCAUGUUAUUCUGACAUUAAUAUCUGUCACAUAUCAGUUUUUAAAAAAAAUGUGAAUAAAAUAAUUUACUUAGUAAAGCCACAUACAAACUUGGUCUCUUUUUUGCUUUCUUGAGUAAGGCAGCUCCAAAAUGCAGGUGUUUCAGCCUAGUUCAGUGCUUUUUGUGGUGGUGGGGCAGCCAGCGGAAAAUGCGGAGCGAAGGGGUUGGUAAUGUUCUCCAGUUGCGCCGUGAUUGGGGAAUGUUCUCCAGUUGCACCGUGAUUGGCUCAGUGUUCUGUCUCAUGGGGACACGACAUCACCGCAAAAUCUAAGUACCCAUCCAAGUAGGCUCAAGGUUAUUGGCCACAGAUACAAUGACGUAAAAUUACAUUAUAUCUACAGUAGCGUGGUUUUCCUAUAGGAGGAAGCAGAAUGCAGAGUACCUUUAAUUUAU